CAGAAAUCUUGCUAUGCUUCGCUGACUGAGUAAAACCAAGAAGAAAGAAUAGAGGUUGUAGAAGAAGAGUUUAUGUGUUUACUUUCGGUGUUGUUGUUUGGACUAUACUGUAUAAAUCCCAUGUAUCCCAUGCAAUUCUUAACAAUUUGGAUUCACCAUGACCUUGAAUAUGUAUAGUCUAUUUGGGGACACCGAGGCGGGAUUACGUUUUUGUGAACCAAGCAAGCAGAAUAAACCAGUUUAACCACGGUAGGGGGCGGAGCCACAAUGGGGCAGAAUCCACCCAACCUCACAGGACCAGGAAGCAGAGCAGAAGCCCAGAGGGGAACACGGGAUCGAAGAAGAAAGCCCCCAAGGAGACCAUUGGUCGAAGGGACCUGUGCUGUCUGCUCUGUGACAGGAAGUUCUGCAGCAGGCUGACCCUGCGUCGUCACAUGGGCAUCCACCAGGGUAGCAAGCCUUACAGCUGCCAGCUGUGCCCCUACCGCAGCCGCCUCAAGGCCUCCCUGCUGCAGCACAACCGCAUCCACACAG
ensembl:lncRNA